CAGUCGCCACGGGAAUACGUAGGGUGCAAGCGUUGUCCGGAAUUAUUGGGCGUAAAGAGCUCGUAGGCGGUUUGUCGCGUCUGCUGUGAAAUCCCGAGGCUCAACCUCGGGCUUGCAGUGGGUACGGGCAGACUAGAGUGCGGUAGGGGAGAUUGGAAUUCCUGGUGUAGCGGUGGAAUGCGCAGAUAUCAGGAGGAACACCGAUGGCGAAGGCAGAUCUCUGGGCCGUAACUGACGCUGAGGAGCGAAAGCGUGGGGAGCGAACAGGAUUAGAUACCCGAGUAGUCCCUGUCUCUUAUAA
rnacentral:rRNA from 1 species